rnacentral:lncRNA from 1 species
GAGUGUUUUAAGUGGCCCGCCUUGACCGUCAUCUAUAAAUAUGUUCUUUGUAGCAGUGUGACUGCAUGCUAUGACCAUAUGCUACACCUUAAAAAUAUGUUCCCUUGAAGUCACUCUGUUUUGACAUAUCAAAACAGCAUAUAUAGGCCUAGGAGGCACAGGGGAAUGGUUAGACAUAACGACGUGUAUAGCUCACCCGAGCUGCAGCUGUCACGAACGACCAAACCAAAUGGACGGUUCAGUAGAUGAUCAUCUCCUGACUAGAAAUCAAUGUUGCAUUAAAUGAGGGCUGUAUGUAGGGUCAGGCUAUUCAUCAAUCGAUUGAAAAAAUAAUCCGUCAAUCAAAUUUUUAGAUGUUACAAAUUGUAUUAAGAUUUAUGCUGAACAGAAACCUAUCUUUCUUCUCUCACCAUCAUCUUGUCUUGCCCCCGCCUCUUCCGUCCCUGCCACCGCCCCCUCCUAGAGUCGUCCUUACUUGCCAACAUCCCCUCCUUCCCCUCCACUCUCAUCCCCAAUCCAGGUAGCGUGCCACCCAUCUGAUGCCGAUCUACCGCCCUUCUCCAUCCCCACGGCUCUGACGCUACCGCCCAUGCCUUGUCGCCCACCCGUCUCCACCACUCUCCC